rnacentral:rRNA from 1 species
UACGUAGGGGGCAAGCGUUGUCCGGAUUUAUUGGGCGUAAAGAGCGUGUAGGCGGUCAGGUAGGUCCGUUGUGAAAACUCGAGGCUCAACCUCGAGACGCCGAUGGAAACCAUCUGACUAGAGUCCGGAAGAGGAGAGUGGAAUUCCUGGUGUAGCGGUGAAAUGACGCAGAUAUCAGGAGGAACACCGAUUGCGAAGGCAGCUCGCUGGGACGUUACUGACGCUGAGACGCGAAAGCGUGGGGAGCAAACAGG